AGCGGCGGACGGGUGAGUAACGCGUGGGUAACCUGCCUCAUACAGGGGGAUAACAGUUGGAAACGGCUGCUAAUACCGCGUAAGCGCACAGUACCGCAUGGUACCGUGUGAAAAACUCCGGUGGUAUGAGAUGGACCUGCGUCUGAUUAGCUAGUUGGUGGGGUAACGGCCUACCAAGGCGACGAUCAGUAGCCGACCUGAGAGGGUGACCGGCCACAUUGGGACUGAGACACGGCCCAA
rnacentral:rRNA from 1 species